rnacentral:rRNA from 1 species
UACGGAGGAUGCGAGCGUUAUCCGGAUUUAUUGGGUUUAAAGGGUGCGCAGGCGGCACGGCAAGCCGGCGGUCAAAUCGCGGGGCUCAACCCCGCCCAGCCGUCGGAACUGCCGGGCUAGAGUGGGCGAGAAGUGCGCGGAAUGCGUGGUGUAGCGGUGAAAUGCAUAGAUAUCACGCAGAACUCCGAUUGCGAAGGCAGCAUACCGGCGCCCUACUGACGCUGAGGCACGAAAGCGUGGGUAUCGAACAGG